UACGUAGGGUGCAAGCGUUGUCCGGAAUUAUUGGGCGUAAAGAGCUCGUAGGCGGCUUGUCGCGUCGACUGUGAAAAACCCGCGGCUCAACUGCGGGCCUGCAGCCGAUACGGGCAGGCUAGAGUUCGGUAGGGGAGACUGGAAUUCCUGGUGUAGCGGUGAAAUGCGUAGAUAUCUGGAGGAACACCGGUGGCGAAGGCGGCAUCCUGGACCGGCAUUGACGCUGAGGCGCGAAAGCCAGGGGGAGCAAACGGG
rnacentral:rRNA from 1 species